AAUAAAUAUGCAUACAUUUUACAAUUAAAUAUUGUAAUGUUGAAAAUGUCUGAAAAACUUAGAUUUUACGGUAUUAUUUGAGUAAAACUACAUCUUUUCGGGUUGUACACAUUGGAAUUCACAGUAUAAAGCUGUAGAUUUUUAAGCAAACAAAAACAUUCAUUUUUACAGAAGCAAGAUGUUAAACAAUAGGGUCCACCGUAAUAAUACAACCAGUAAAUACCAUUUUUUUAAAAAGAAAAAAAAAAAGCAAAUAUCAGCAGUGAAAGACAAUAAAAUUGAUAGUAUUUUUUUUAUUUUAAAAUUCAGAUACUGAUAUACAGAUUAAAAGUUAGGCCUGCAGUAUAUCAUUGUUAACCUUCUGAUAAAAAAAUCAACAGCAAAAGAAGAUGUUAAAAAUAAAGUUUAUGGUUGUGAAUAAAAUUGAUUUCAAUAAUCUUUUUUAAUUAUUAUUUUAAAACAACUUUAUGUUGUUGUGUUUCACGCCAUAUUAUCAGACCACCUUAAGUGGGUCCGCCUUAAAUUUUGAGUUUGUGUGAUCGCUGUUGAUUGGUAGCUAAACUGCUGGUAAACUAUGUACAGACGUUUUACGUUCGAAUUGCAGAGAAAAAAAAAUUCUGGUAGCAACAUUGUGCAGUAUGAGCGAACCAUUUCACCAAAAAAAGGGGAAGCAAGGCAAGACGUGGCUGCAGCGUUCUGCAGACGUGACUUCUGAUCAAAUUCGAACCUCCUAAAGAAACAAAGAGCGACAUUACAUUGCGGGAUGACGUCACCUGAAAAUGACCAAUAGCGCGGCGCGCUGCUGAGCUGUGUGCCAACCGCUCUUUUUUUCAUGCAGGAGACUCAAGUUGGCUUCGCUAACGGACACAGUUUUGAACUCGUAUAUUAGCGCCAUUUAUUGCUGCUUGGACCACAGCAUCUUCGGAAUUUGUAGACAUCCUGGCAGCUUACAAUUAGUUCGAGACACUGAAUUUGAGCAGAAACCAUAAGGAUACUCAAAGGACCUGUGACUCUCAGGAAAUGCAUCAAAUGAGAGGGACAGAUGAAACAGUUUCAAGACAAUGGCAGGAAAAACAUGCUGAAGAUUGAAACAAACCUUGGCUGGAAAUAUUUGAAGGUAUCUAGCCAGUCCACAAUGAAAGCUUCGUUGCACCCCAUGAGUCUUCUGGCAGAAAUGAUGGCGCCUGUAUUCUUUGGUUUCCCUAAACAUCACACCCUGCCUGUUUAUACGAGGCUCUUCAAUUAAGUCUGCACCCAAAGAUUCAAUAAGAGGUAAGCAGUGGUAUUAUUCAAGUUUUGCUAAAGAAAGAUGGACAGGAGACACUAAUCUUAAUCAGCCGAGCUCAGGUUCAUGUCCAGGUGAGCAGUUUCAUACGCUAUAAAAUGUAGAUUGAAUGAUAGGUCUCAUCACCAUGCAUUCAGCCAUUAACUUCAAGUUCUAUGAUAAAUCAAUAGGAAACUUAAA